UACGUAGGGUGCAAGCGUUAAUCGGAAUUACUGGGCGUAAAGCGUGCGCAGGCGGUUGUGUAAGACAGUUGUGAAAUCCCCGGGCUCAACCUGGGAAUUGCAUCUGUGACUGCACGGCUGGAGUGCGGCAGAGGGGGAUGGAAUUCCGCGUGUAGCAGUGAAAUGCGUAGAUAUGCGGAGGAACACCGAUGGCGAAGGCAAUCCCCUGGGCCUGCACUGACGCUCAUGCACGAAAGCGUGGGGAGCAAACAGGAUUAGAUACCCUGGUAGUCCACGCCCUAAACGAUGUCAACUGGUUGUUGGGUCUUUGCUGACUCAGUAACGAAGCUAACGCGUGAAGUUGACCGCCUGGGGAGUACGGCCGCAAGGUUGAA
rnacentral:rRNA from 1 species